UACGUAGGUGGCAAGCGUUGUUCGGAAUUACUGGGCGUAAAGGGCGCGUAGGCGGCCUUCUAAGUCGAACGUGAAAUCCCCGGGCUCAACCCGGGAACUGCGUCCGAUACUGGGAGGCUUGAAUCCGGGAGAGGGAUGUGGAAUUCCAGGUGUAGCGGUGAAAUGACGCAGAUAUCAGGAGGAACACCAAUUGCGAAGGCAGCUCGCUGGGACGUGACUGACGCUGGAGACGCGAAAGCGUGGGGAGCAAACAGG
rnacentral:rRNA from 1 species